UCAGAUUAAAAGCCUCCAGGAUUUUUUAGCUUUCUACCUGAACAAUAUUGGUGUAUAUGGAGGAAGGUAUACGUAAGCAGAUUGGGGCUUCAGUUGAAAUAGCUAGCUGGGAAUCCCAUUCACCUGUGACUUUCGCUGUUAUUUAUGGUUCUCUUUUUUCUCUCUCCACCCCAUUUUAUAUUGGAAAGAUCAAACAUCUUUGAGCUAAAUAGUUUAAAUUUCAGCAAGAAGGCCUUGAAGGAGAAAUCACACGAAGAUCACUGACACACUCAUCAUGGGAUUUAUCAUCCACUGCAGACCGUGAACGCCGUGGAUGGCACCCUAUGACAUACAAAUAUUCAGAUGCUACUCCCAUGCUUAUUAAAUCUAUAAAGGAUGUAGAUAAUAUCUACUAUGAGACCGAGUAUCGAAGAGAAUGGUGUAGCAGCAAGGAGAAACCCUCUCCAUGCUUUCUUUUUGCCAGAAAAUUUACCCGGCCUGCUGCUCUCAGGCUUCUCAACACGACUACACUGGAGCUUAGAUGAAGGACUAAAUUCUAA